rnacentral:rRNA from 1 species
AAUCAACGCUGGCGGCGUGCCUCAGACAUGCAAGUCGAACGAUUAAACUUUCCUUCGGGAAAGAUAUAAAGUGGCGCACGGGUGAGUAACACGUAAGUAAUCUACCUUCGAGUGGGGAAUAACGUUCGGAAACGAACGCUAAUACCGCAUAAUGCAGCGGCACCUAAUGGUGACAGUUGUUAAAGGAGCAAUUCGCUUGAAGAGGAGCUUGCGGCAGAUUAGCUAGUGGCAAGGUAACGGCUUACCAAGGCUACGAUCUGUAACCGGUCUAAGAGGACGGUCGGUCACACUGACACUGAAUAACGGGUCAGACUCCUACGGGAGGCAGCAGUCGGGAAUUUUGGGCAAUGGGCGAAAGCCUGACCCAGCAACGCCGCGUGAAGGAUGAAGUAUUUCGGUAUGUAAAA